rnacentral:rRNA from 1 species
GGGGAAUAUUGGACAAUGGGGGCAACCCUGAUCCAGCCAUGCCGCGUGAGUGAUGAAGGCCUUAGGGUUGUAAAACUCUUUUAUCCGGGAAGAUAAUGACUGUACCGGAAGAAUAAGCCCCGGCUAACUUCGUGCCAGCAGCCGCGGUAAUACGAAGGGGGCUAGCGUUGUUCGGAAUCACUGGGCGUAAAGCGCACGUAGGCGGAUUGUUAAGUCAGAGGUGAAAUCCCGGAGCUCAACUUCGGAACUGCCUUUGAUACUGGCAAUCUCGAGUCUGGAAGAGGUUAGUGGAACUGCGAGUGUAGAGGUGAAAUUCGUAGAUAUUCGCAAGAACACCAGUGGCGAAGGCGGCUAACUGGUCCAGUACUGACGCUGAGGUGCGAAAGCGUGGGGAGCAAAC